rnacentral:lncRNA from 1 species
UUUGUUUCAGUUUUAACCAAAAGUUCUGACCCAGGCUCAUGCCUAUGCACCUAUAUGCGCUUGGCAUGGAUGUCCAUAAUUUACUAUCAUCGUAGAUUUGUAGUCCCAUGUCUAUCUUUCCUGUUUCCUGCUAUCCUGCUCCAAUCUGUAGGAAAGGCGAAAACUUUUUGUUUUCAGGAUAAGAGCAGACCUUUCUGUCCAUACCAGCACUGCUUCACCCUGAUGUCAUCUACUCUUUUCUCAUGUGCUUGAUCCAAAACAACGACUCCCCUGCACUGCGCCUUUAGGAGUUCUCUGAGUUAGCUUGUCUUGCUGCUCCCCGUGGCCGCUUUGUUUGUUGAGAGUACACACAGUACAUGCCCUGAAAGUAGCACCCCUUCCCUUGAAAAGACAUCUUGUAGUUCUGGUGCCAGGCAUGGCAGCACCACUCGGGGAGGGUUGUUGCUUUCCUGGACUUUCUCCUGACUGGAUUUAUAAAUCACAAAGGCUUCUGUGACAACAUCAGAGCCAGCCUUGUCCCCAUUGACCUGAAUGUCCUCUCUUAUGGCUUCAGCAUAGUAUGGCUCACAUGUACCUCCCGGGUCCCAUUCUGCAGCUUGAGCUCUUACUUGGAGUUGGUGGCAGGGAUGGACAGGAGCCUAACUUAACAGCCCUCUGAGAGACUCUACCCAGAAGAUGACUGAGACAGAUGGAUAUACCUACAGACAAACAUUGGACGGAGGUUGGGGACCUCCAUGGCAGAGUUAGGGAAGGAGAUGACAACCUCACAGGAAGACCAACAGUGUCAACUAAUCUGGACCUUCUAGGAGUUCACAGAGACAGAGCCACCAAGCAAAGAGCAUACAUAGGCUGGUCUGAGCCCCCUGAUUCCUAUGUAGCACAGGGCUGUCAUAUCUGGCUGCCUCAGUGGGAGAGGAUGUGCCUAAUCUUGCAGGGAUUUGGUGCACAAGGGUGCGUGUGAGAGAGCUACAGGGGGUGUGCUGCCCUCUUAGAGGAGGAGGGGAGGGGAAUGGGGAGGAGCUCUGUGAGGGUAGACCAGGAAGGGGGCAACAUUUGGGAUAUAAGUAAAUAAAUGAAUUUUCAAAAAGAAAAGAACAGGAGAAGCGGAGGCCACGGAGGGAAGGUGCUU